rnacentral:rRNA from 1 species
CCUACGGGGCGCAGCAGUGGGGAAUAUUGGACAAUGGGCGAAAGCCUGAUCCAGCCAUGCCGCGUGUGUGAAGAAGGCCUUCGGGUUGUAAAGCACUUUCAGUGGGGAAGAAAGCCUUGGGGCUAAUACCCUCGAGGAAGGACAUCACCCACAGAAGAAGCACCGGCUAACUCCGUGCCAGCAGCCGCGGUAAUACGGAGGGUGCGAGCGUUAAUCGGAAUUACUGGGCGUAAAGCGCGCGUAGGCGGUCUGAUAAGCCGGUUGUGAAAGCCCCGGGCUCAACCUGGGAACGGCAUCCGGAACUGUCAGGCUAGAGUGCAGGAGAGGAAGGUAGAAUUCCCGGUGUAGCGGUGAAAUGCGUAGAGAUCGGGAGAAAUACCAGUGGCGAAGGCGGCCUUCUGGACUGACACUGACGCUGAGGUGCGAAAGCGUGGGUAGCAAACAGGAUUAGAUACCCCUGUAGUC